AGCAGACAGGCGGCACGGCUUCGGUGCUUACGGAAUCGUCUGUCCAGUCUCAUCAACGGUUUUACUUUCCCUGAUCCGUUUGAGAGAU
rnacentral:sRNA from 1 species